UACGGAGGAUGCGAGCGUUAUCCGGAUUUACUGGGUGUAAAGGGGGCGCAGACGGCGAUGCAAGCCAGGAGUGAAAGCCCGGGGCCCAACCCCGGGACUGCUCUUGGAACUGCGUGGCUGGAGUGCAGGAGGGGCAGGCGGAAUUCCUGGUGUAGCGGUGAAAUGCGUAGAUAUCAGGAGGAACACCGGUGGCGAAGGCGGCCUGCUGGACUGCAACUGACGUUGAGGCUCGAAAGCGUGGGGAGCAAACAGG
rnacentral:rRNA from 1 species